ACCGGAUGUGGACGUGGCGUGCCA
rnacentral:miRNA from 1 species